rfam:Mycobacterium sp. 1274756.6 contig_63, whole genome shotgun sequence.
CUUCAUGAGACGCCGUCGACAAGCUCCGACUGGACGGCGCGCCAACCCCACGCUCGUGGGUGGCUCGGAUGACGAAGCGGUCGCCGCCAACCAGUGUGCGACAAGAGCGCCUC